rnacentral:rRNA from 1 species
UACGUAGGGACCGAGCGUUGUCCGGAUUCAUUGGGCGUAAAGAGCUCGUAGGCGGCUUGUCACGUCGGGUGUGAAAGCCCGGGGCUUAACCCCGGGUCUGCAUUCGAUACGGGCUAGCUAGAGUGUGGUAGGGGAGAUCGGAAUUCCUGGUGUAGCGGUGAAAUGCGCAGAUAUCAGGAAGAACACCCGUGGCGAAGGCGGCUCUCUGGGACGGUACUGACGCUGAGACGCGAAAGCGUGGGGAGCGAACAGG